UUUAAAUACAAAAUAGAAUGUUAUAUAUCUUGUAGACAGUCAAAUAUUUGAUGUUUUAUGGGACAUAAUCAUUUGGGAAGUUUUUGUUGUAAAUGAAGAGUUAGUUUGUUGCUAUUAAUUUGUUUGACACAUAAGUUCAUUCCUAAAAGUUAGAGAUGUUACAUAAAGAAGGGUUGAGGACUUUAUUUCAGAAGUCAUUUAAUUUUUUCUUUAUUUUCUUUCAGAUUUUGUAUGGUUUAUUCAGAAGUGCCAAAUUUCAGUGAACCCAACCCAGAUUAUCGAGGACAGCAGAACAAAGGGGCACAGAGUGAACAGAAGAAUAAUUCCAUGAAUAGUAAUAUGGGUACAGGUACAUUUGGACCAGUGGGGUCUUACGCUGUUGCCCAGACUGGAGUGCAGUGGCGUGAUCUUGGCUCAUCGCAACCUCCACCUCGCAGGCUCAAGUGAUUCUCCUGCCUCAGCCUCCCAAGUAGCUGGGAUUACAGAUGUGCACCACUACCACCCAGCUAAUUUUUAUAUUUUUAAUAGAGAUGGGAUUUCACCAUAUGGGCCAGGCUAGUCUCGAAC
rnacentral:lncRNA from 10 species